CAAGGUGAUGGCCAAUUUGAAGUAUGAGAGCUUAAUCUGGGCACUCUUCCAAAAUGGCUGCUCUGGGUAGAUUUACCAUGAUCCCUUUGAACGAAAUAGUUACUAUUUACCAACCAGUCCUAAAUUAGUCCUUUUUUUUUUCCUGAGCAAGCAGUGGGAUGCAGUACCUGCAUCUAUAAUUUUCUUGAAACAUAUACAGGGCAGACUCAUAUGAAUAGUCAUUGUGCAACUGCGGUAAAUAAACCGUAAAUUCACAUGCAUUUUCACAUUUUAAAAAGUUGCCACUAGAUGCUGUAGCUCCUGGUGUUUUGUUUUGCAGCAAGCCACCUUGAGAUAGAGACAGAUAGGGAUCCAUAUUUUAAUUAUCACAAACGUUUUAAAAAGUCAGGUGGGAUGAAGGAUCUGAUAAACAGUAAGAAAAAUGACCGCAGGAGGCCAAUAAAGCUGCAGGAUUUGUGUUGCCGAGCCCUGCUUUAAAAACUUAACCAUUACUUAUUUCUUUCUGGAAAUUCUAUAAAAGUCUCUUAAAGACUGUUAGUUAAUGAUAGAGCCCAUGUUCUGAAUCAGAAGAUCUUCCCUUCACCUCCUGGUAUCUCCAGGCAUGGGUGGAGAAACUCCAGGGAAACUUCACAGAAUUCCUGCCAAAUAAAGAAGGCCAAUGGAGAGAGAUGGAAAUGAUGGCCUGAGUUUGUGAAGGCAUGUUUUGUGCAUACCCCAUGGUACUCAGCAAUGCUUUUCUUUUUUUUUACAUCCCCAAAAUUAGUGUAACGUAGCCACAUCUAUUUUUGAUUUUUCAGAAAGGCUACGAUGUUUAAUUCUCUUUGUGCUUUGAAUCGGCUGAGACUAUCUUGAGACGUUCCCUCCUUUUUUCAGCAAUGUUGCACAUAUUGCUCUGGGUCCUUCUUGCCAAGAAUUCCCAACCUCAUUAUUCUUGUCUGGUUUAUGUCUGCCUUCCUCAGAGCUCAUGGUGGGUGGCUGCUAGGUGGUUUGUCAAUGCUCCAGCUUUCUGCAGUCUUCCAGAUCUACAUACAAGUCCCUGGGAUAUGGUUGACAGGAGCCUUUGGAAAGAGGAGGAAAAAAAGUAACAUUUCAAGUUGAAGAUUAAACAUAUCCAUCUCUCCUCUGGUGGUCCACAUAAGUGUGACUACAAUUUUCAUCAUCUCCACAGCAUAAGAUAAAGGGUCAGUGAGAAAUACUUUGCUUCCUGAAACUGAAGAACAAUUGGCACGUAAGCACACUAAGACCAACAAGAACAAUCACAACAGUUGUUAUUCUUUGCUACAGAGCUCUAUUGUGAGACCUCAAAUAAGCAGGUGCUCUAGGGCUUGUCUGACACGCCACACAGUCAUAUUCUAAAAUCAUUACUUUGUGAAAGAGAAAGGAGGC